rnacentral:rRNA from 1 species
AACGAACGCUGGCGGCGUGGAUAAGACAUGCAAGUCGAGCGAAGUAUCAGGGGUAGCAAUAUUCCUGAUACUUAGCGGCGAAAGGGUGCGUAACACGUAGAUCAUCUGCCUCCAAGUGUGGGAUAGCCCGGCGAAAGCCGGAUUAAUACCGCAUGUGGUUGAGGAACGCAUGUUCCGAAAACCAAAGCCGGGGACCGCAAGGCCUGGCGAUUGGAGAUGACUCUGCGGCCUAGCAGCUUGUUGGCGGGGGAACGGCCCACCAAGGCGAAGACGGGUAGCUGGUCUGAGAGGACGACCAGCCACACUGGAACUGAGACACGGUCCAGACACCUACGGGUGGCAGCAGUCGAGGAUUUUUCUCAAUGGGCGAAAGCCUGAAGGAGCGACGCCGCGUGGGGGAUGAAGGUCUUCGGAUUGUAAACCCCUGUCACUUGGGAACAAACCUUUUCACCUAACACGUGAAGAGCUGAUAGUACCAGGAGAGGAAGACGUGGCUAACUCUGUGCCAGCAGCCGCCGUAACAC